rnacentral:tRNA from 1 species
GGUGGAUUACCCAAGCGGUCAACGGGGUUUGACUGUAAAUCAAAUGCUAUUAGCUUCGGGGGUUCGAAUCCCUCAUCCACCA